rnacentral:lncRNA from 1 species
GCUCUCCUUUUUCCUUUCUUUUUAAUUCCUACAGUCACCACUGAUUUUUAGUUUUGCCAAUUGUCAUGGAAGUCGGACUGAAGCCUGCAUAGACAUGAGGAUGGAAAGUUUUAUCCUGCUACUGGAGCUGCUGAUCAAAUCUGAUUCUAAGCUUCUGUUUCCAUUAAAUAUGCUUUGCUGCACAUUUAUCUCUCUUCAAAAGUGCCUCAUUUGGCAUGUGACGGUGAAAUCUAUUCUCUGCUAUAUGCAAGAUAAUCAUCAACACAAAUUCAAUUACUCUCAUUGCACUCUCCUUUUUCCUUUCUUUUUAAUUCCUACCGUCACCACUAAUUUUAGCUUUGCCAAUUGUCAUGGAAGUCUGAAAAUAAUUGAAACGUUCUCAUUUGUGUAGGCAAAACACAAUUGUGUUUAGUUUCUACUACACUGUAUUAUUGAUCUUCAUCAUCUACUCUUCUCAUACAAAUCAAAACAUGUCAUUCUAAUUAAAUUAUAACCUUCAAAAUUUUACACAAAAAAUAAAACAUCAACACAAGAAAUUUCAUAAGAAAUGAUUGUUAUAUCUAAAGGGAUGAAAUAAUGGUUACCACUUCUUCCCAUUCAAUUGUUAUGUUUGUUAAUUUAACGGAUGGCUGAAUUAACCUCAUAUAGACCAAGCAAUGAAGGGGUUAUCUUUGCUCUCUUGCCAAGCCUCAUGUCAUCCGCAUCUACAGCAAAAUUAGGGCUUACUUCAUACUGCAUCGUAAGAGUUUUUUUUUAUUGUGACUUUCGCCUACCUCAAUUUCUUGGCUCGGCCCUCCAUCAAUGGUAUUGGCCCCACCAUAAGUACCAAGACUUAGACCAUGAAAGUUAUCCACAAAAUAAUUGAGACUUACUUCAUACUGCCCAACGGGAGUUUGAUAUUCAACGUGACUUCAUGAACCUCAGUUUCCUGGCUAGGCCCUUCAUCAGUGAUGUUGGCCCCUCCAUGAAAGCCAUCUCCCAGAUUAUUUUCAACUCCUCUGGACAUCAUUGGAGUUUGAUUUUCAUCAUCUACCCCAAAUAUAAAAAGAAUAAUAAUAGUUUAAAACAUAAAUAAAAUUUAACAAACAGAAAAAAAAGGAAAAAUAACAUUAGAAGCCCAUUUACUCUCAUUCGCAUCUACCAAACACAAAAAGAACACGUUUAGUUUAAAACAUAAAUAAAAUUUAACAAGCUAAAAAAAGGAUAAAAUAAAUAAAUUAUCAUUUCUGUUCAUAAUCAAAUUUAAUCUCCUCUCAUCCCACUUCUUUAUAAAAUUCGCGUGCCUCACAGUCCAAUCAAAUUUUUGUAAAGCGGUGCGCUUCUUGUUAACUAUUGGCAGCGAUAGUUCGAGUGGAAUAAUAUCAGCCAACAAAUUCCAUUUAAGUGGGCACAAAUCUGGCCUAUGAUAUGUCAAUUUUUCAAAGCAUAUCAAUAUUGUGUGGGAAAGUCUAAAAUCUAUCUACCCAACAAGAUAUUGGGGCAGAAAGUCGUUCGACAAUCUUGCAUAUGACAGCCACACAAUCUAACGAGAGAAAAUAACAUAAAGUUAAUUGAAAACAAAAGAAAAUUAGAGUAAAGUAACUAAAAAUUCACAUUAAUAAAAUAAACUUAC